AAGUCGUAACAAGGUUUCCGUAGGUGAACCUGCGGAAGGAUCAUUAACACGUUCCACGUAUCCACCCGAGAACUCGUUUUCAUCAAGGAUUAAGCUUCAGUUAGCCUGUAAACUCUGUGCAUUCCGCAAAAUAUUUCGAUAAGGAAACAGGCUGCAUAAGCCUGGCGGCUGUCAGUAGAAAUGUCUUCGAUUCAAUUCGAAGGAGGCGCUGAAGAUCUGGUCCUGUUUCUGUUCCUUAUCGAAUUUUUACAAUUAUUUACCCCUUUCGAAACGUACUAAUUUAUAUUUCUUUCUAAGAAAUUGGCCGGCAUUUUCGGAUGCUUGUCUAACUCUAAGAAAAACCUUAAGAACAACUCUUAACAACGGAUAUCUUGGCUCUC
rnacentral:misc_RNA from 1 species